rnacentral:rRNA from 1 species
ACUCCUACGGGAGGCAGCAGCGAGGAAUCUUGGGCAAUGGGCGAAAGCCUGACCCAGCGACGCCGCGUGAGGGAUGAAGGCCUUCGGGUCGUAAACCUCUUUUGUGAGGGAAGAAGUUCUGACGGUACCUCACGAAUAAGCCACGGCUAACUACGUGCCAGCAGCCGCGGUAAU